rnacentral:rRNA from 1 species
CCUACGGGAGGCAGCAGUGGGGAAUAUUGCACAAUGGGCGCAAGCCUGAUGCAGCCAUGCCGCGUGUAUGAAGAAGGCCUUCGGGUUGUAAAGUACUUUCAGCGGGGAGGAAGGCGACGGGGUUAAUAACCGCGUCGAUUGACGUUACCCGCAGAAGAAGCACCGGCUAACUCCGUGCCAGCAGCCGCGGUAAU